rnacentral:rRNA from 1 species
UAAUACGGAGGGGGCGAGCGUUAUUCGGAAUCACUGGGUGUAAAGAGGGCGUAGGCGGGUCCGUAAGUCGAUAGUGAAAGCCAUGGGCUCAACUCAUGAAUUGCUCUCGAUACUGCAGAUCUUGAGCGCAGUAGGGGAGAGCGGAACUCCCAGUGCAGCGGUGGAAUGUGUAGAUAUUGGGAGGAACACCGAUGGCGAAGGCGGCUCUCUGGUCUGUCGCUGACGCUCUGGCCCGAAAGCUAGGGGAGCGAAUGGGAUUAGAUACCCCAGUAGUCCUAGCCGUAAACGAUGGGCACUAGGUGUAGGUUCGUAUGAAUCUGUGCCGUAGCUAACGCAUUAAGUGCCCCACCUGGGGAGUACGACCGCAAGGUUG